UAUCUCUCCGUACGGGGAAGGAUGAGAAGCUUCGAAUAAGGUUCGAUUCGAGCGAAAGCGAGAAAGCGUUGCCGCAGGCAACGACCCGA
rnacentral:sRNA from 2 species